CAAUAAUCAAGAAACAGAUUUGAAUGUGAUUCAUCAGUAUUGUAGAUUCCUGGUUAUUUCCAGCGUGCACACUGACAAUCUCUGAUACAAUAAAAGAAUAGUAUUAUCCUUAUGUUUUUCAAAAGAUACAAGACAGACAAGGAGAAUGUGUUUGCAUAUCUCAUAUCUAUGGAAGAACUUGUAUGCAGCAUAUAUUUUUUAAAAAACUCUAAAAACACAGUAAUAAGACAAAAACCAAAUAUAAUGGUCAAGGAUUUAAACAUACACUUCCUUAAAGAAAAUAUGAAACUAUCAAAUAAACUUCUGAAAAGUUAAAACUGAAUACAAGCCAUUAGUCAAUAGGGAAAUGAUAAAUAGAACCACAAUGAGAUAUUACCAUGUACCUACUUAAAGAUCUAAAAUUAAAAAUAAUGACCAUGUCAAGUACCACUUAAAAUAUAGAACAAGUGGAAUUUCAUGAGUUGCCAUUGGGAAUGUAAAACAAUAUAGCCAUUUUGGAAAAAACAUUGGUAGAUUCAUGAUGUUAAGUAUAUAUUUAUCACAAGACCCAGCCAUCUCAUUCCCAUUUAUCCAAGUGAAAUAAAAAGCUGCACUCAUGCAGAAAUCUCUGCAUGAAUAUUACAAUGCCUUCAUUCAUUAUUGCUGCAAAGUGAAAACCAUCAAAAUGUCCUUUCACUUGGGAAAUGCA
rnacentral:lncRNA from 1 species